GCCAUGUAAAAUCUUUGCCUUAACCAUGAUAAAUAGGUGGUUACGCAAAAUUAUCACUAAACGACGUCAUGUCGAGAUGGCUGUUUCUAGGAAGUGACGUGUCAGAGACGGUCGAAGGAAGUUUGUCCGGUGGUGCUGAAAGAAACUUUCCCCGGAGCCGAAAGAGGAGUGUGAAUCCCGGAGAACGGCGCAGCUGGGGAAACGGAGCCAGCUGUGGAGGGAAGCAUUUUUUUUACCGUCUGUACGAGUAAGCGAAAGAAUAGAUUUGGCUUGACAGGAGCGCAAAGGAAUUUGCUCCCGUUUCAAAUCCCUUUCUCCCCCUCGCCCUUCUCGAUUUGAGAUGGGGAAGGAGCAGGAACUCCUUGAGGCGGCGCGCAUUGGGAAUCUUGCCGCCGUUGAGAAGCUUUUGUCAGGGAAACGACAGUCCACAGGGAUCGGUGGCGGAUCCUCGGGAACCGCGGGAAGCAGCAGCAGCGGUGGUCACAGUUCUUCUAGCCAUCUCUCCAAUUUACUCAGUAUCUGGAGGGUCCCCAAUGUGAACUGUGUGGACAGCACUGGAUACACUCCCCUUCACCAUGCUGCACUCAAUGGACACAGCGAGGUGGUGGAGCUGCUACUGCGCAACGAGGCCCUCACCAACAUGGCCGACAACAAAGGCUGCUACCCGCUGCACCUGGCCGCCUGGAAGGGGGACCAGCGCAUCGUCCGACUGCUCAUCCACCAGGGCCCCUCGCAUCCCAAGCUCAACGAACAGAGCUCUGUAGACCACAGAGAGUUCAAACGCUGUGGGCCGUUUGACCCCUAUAUUAACGCAAAGAACAAUGACAACGAGACGCCGCUGCACUGCGCGGCGCAGUACGGCCACUCGGAUGUGGUGCGGCUGCUGCUGGAAGAGCUGACCGACCCGACCAUGCGCAACAACAAGUUCGAGACGCCGCUGGACCUGGCGGCGCUGUACGGGCGUCUGGAGGUGGUGCGCCUGCUGCUCAGCGCCCACCCCAACCUGCUCAGCUGCAACACCAAGAAGCACACGCCGCUGCACCUGGCCUCGCGCAACGGACACCUAUCGGUGGUGGAGGUGCUGCUGGACGCAGGCAUGGACAUCAACUACCAGACCGAGAAGGGCAGCGCUCUCCACGAAGCGGCCCUGUUUGGGAAGACGGAUGUGGUGCAGACGCUCCUGCGUGCAGGUAUUGAUGUCAACAUCAUGGACGCCAAGGGCCUGACGGCGCUGGACACUGUCAGGCAGAUGCCGUCUCAGAAGAGCAGUCAGAACGCCGCCCUCAUCCAGAGUCACAUGACAGGAAAUCCCCCUGAUAUGGCCCUGCCCCCUCCCCCAGUCCCGCCCCCUCAGGAGAACCUCAGCCCCAGGAGAAAAGGUGAGGUCGAGCAGCAGGUGAGUGAUCUGAUCUCUGGCCUGGCGGGUGACCCUGAGGAGGAGAGCCCGUAUGAGGCUCUGUUUGAGGCCACCUCCUGCCACUCCCUGGACAGCCUGGCCAGCGGCAAGUCCUCCGACCGCGACUCCGGCCGACCCGACAGCGAGGCCGGCAAAAAAGAUCGGCUACCUCCUCCUUCUCAGCCUGGUCCUGUUCAUGAAGAGCAAGGCAGUUCAGAGGCUGUGUACACCAACAGCAGAAUAGAUGAGCGAGGAGAGACGGCGGAGGAUGAGGAGGACCACACCUACGAGCUGCUGCUCUCCGCCGAGACGAAGGUCCCCUGCCACGAGCCCCAUGAACCGUCCUCACAAACAGAAGAGGAAGCGAAAUCCAAGUCGUCCAACAGCCUUCUACCUCAGUGGAAACCCUCUACACCCAGUGACCUCCGACCCCCAGGCCCGAGCAGUGACACCCUUCAUCCCCCCGCACCAGCGCUGGGACCUGGACGACAUCGAACUGCUGGAGAAGAUUCCCAGCCGGACCAGGACCUGGGCAUCGUUCCCGAACAGUUCACAGGCCUCCUGCACGGCUCGUCGCCGGUCUUCGACUGCCGAGAGGAGCCCUUCAAAGUUCCCGGCGAGUCGUCCCCCACCCCUGGUCGGGACGCGGACGCAGACCCCGCGGACAGGGACGAGGACGUGCCCUCUCACCCCCCUCCUCCGCCGGCUGCUGCAGCGGCGGCGGCGGCAGCGGCCAUGUCCGCCAUCCUCGCGGACUGCGACCCCAAAGCCAUCUACGCCACUGUGAACAAGGAACCCUCCGGCGCGGGGGCCUCCGUUUCGGCUUCGGCCACCCCCAGGAUGCGUCCUCCCGGGGACCUGAAGCUGGCCCGCAGCCUCUCCAAGUCGGACUCGGACCUGCUGGUGUCGCCCCCCGGCGAGGAGGAGGGCGGGCUGGGCAACCGCAGCGAGUCGGUCUCCAACUGCAGCACCAGCAAGAGGAGGCUGGAGAAGUCCCCGUCCUUCACCUCCGAGUGGGAUGAGCAGACUCCGAUGUCUUCCAGCGCAAAUCCCAGGAGACCUCAGUCCUGUCACAGCAUCGAGAAGAUCAUGACGCUGAUCGGCGCUGGCAUCGACUUCUCCCGAGACCAGCAGUACACCGCCUCAGGUGCCAGCGGCCGGCUGCUGGAGCAGCCCGUGGGAGACUGGCUGGAGCACGUGGGCCUGCCCCAGUAUGAGAGCAAGAUGCUGCUCAACGGAUUCGAUGACCUCCACUACAUGGGCAAUAACGUGAUGGAAGAUCAGGACCUGCGGGAGAUUGGCAUCUCAGACCCGGGUCACAGGAGGAAGAUCCUGCAUGCAGCUCGCUCCCUGCCCAAGGUGAAGCCUCUGGGCUGCGACGGCAGCACGUCUCUCUCGUCCUGGCUGGACACGCUGGGCCUGCAGGAGUACCUGCACAACUUCCUGUCCAGCGGCUACCGCUCCCUCGACUGCGUCAAGAACCUGUGGGAGCUGGAGAUUGUCAAUGUGCUGAAGAUCACGCUGCUGGGCCACAGGAAGCGUAUUAUCGCAUCACUAGCGGAGCGACCCUACGAGGAGCCUCCUGUCAAACCCCCACGCCUCUCCCAGAUCAGAUGUCAGGAUCUGAUGUCACAGACCUCCUCCCCUCUCAGUCACAUGGACUCCUACACGGGCCGCUCCAUGGAUCCGCUCCUGCCCCCGGGGGAUUCUGGGAGAAGGCGAGGUGGGCCUGAGCCGGACUAUGACAUCGUGCAGCGGCCCCGCAGCGAGAGGCAUUACUCUCACGAGCGGUAUGAGGAGCGGCACAGGGAGCCCCGUUUGACCUUACGACCCCCAAGCCUGGCUGCCCCGUAUGCCCCUGUGCAGAACUGGCACCACCAGCCCGAGAAGCUCAUCUUUGAGUCCUGCGGCUACGAGGCUAACUAUCUGGGCUCCAUGCUCAUCAAAGACCUGCGGGGGACGGAGUCCACACAAGACGCCUGCUCUAAAAUGAGGAGGUCAACAGAGCAGCUGAGGAAGGUCCCCACCAUCAUCCUGUCCAUCACCUACAAAGGGGUGAAGUUCAUUGACGCGGCAAACAAGAACAUUAUCGCGGAACAUGAGAUAAGGAACAUCUCCUGUGCGGCUCAAGAUCCGGAGGACUUGUGUACCUUUGCUUACAUCACCAAGGACCUGCAGACCAACCACCACUACUGCCACGUCUUCAGCACAGUAGACGUAAACCUGACCUAUGAGAUCAUCCUGACCCUGGGACAGGCGUUCGAGGUGGCCUAUCAGCUCGCACUGCAGGCUCAGAGGACCAAAAAGCAGCAGGGCAUGCCUGGAGGUCUGGGGUCGGAGGUCAUCGAGACGAAGACCAGCCGGCCGGUGCCCAAACCAAGGGGGGGCCCGAGGAAGUCAGGGGUGGACCCUGUGGAGCUGGAGGCCGACUCCCAGUCCCAGGGCAGCGCCACGUGGCUGGUGGACCCCAAGGACUCCAAGCGCACCAUCAGCACCAAGCAUCGGCCACUGUGAGGCGCUCUGCUCUUCAACCACCAAUUUUCCUCCUUCUGUCUGAACUCUUGGGGUCUGAAGGGUCAUGACGAGCUUGAAACAAACAACAACAAAAAGAGACCAAAAGGAGAAAAAGGGAAAAAAAAAUACUACGGAUUAAUGGAAUGGGAUGAAACAUAAACAACCAAGGAAAACAGAUGGAGAAAAAAAAAAUGCUCAAAAAAAGUUUUCUUGAUUUUUAGAUGAUUUUUUGGAGAUCAGUUAUUUUUUUUGAAAAUGACUUUCGGUCGCCUCUGUGGAAUCUAAUGAUGGGAUGGGAGUCUCCCUAAUGCUCCCAUUGUCUCACGCUGCGCUCAGCAAAUUAACACUACCUGGGUCUCGGCUGUGAGAACCCAACCUAACGCCUCUGUGUGUGACUGUGUGUUUGAAGGGAGUCUCCUGAGGUACUCUGGGGACUCUCUCUAACCCCCCCAGAGGGUGGAUGAAGACUGAUGGGGUGGGGGUGGGGGUGGGGGGUGAGCUCACUGCUCAUCUCUUUGACUUGACUGCGUGUGCAACUCUUUGUUACUCUGCCAAACGGAGAGCUUGGCUUUAGCACUGUGAUGAGUCGGGUUUUUCAGGAGGAUCUCAAGUAGCCAACUGGGCCUCAGGAGAAGCGGUGUUGACCCAGAUAGCAGCCGGCCCAGGUUCUGAGCUGAGCAGGUUCUGGCGGAGAUCUCCCGGGCAUCGGAUCUGGGCCAGAGUCGGCUGUCGUCUGCAAGCUGAAGCUGUGUUGGUGUGUGAGAGGUGAACAGUCGGCGUGUUGGUGAGGGUUGUCAGGGUGGGGGUUGGUUUUGAUGUCAGUAGGGAAACCAAAAUACCCCUGUGCUCCACCAACACCUCCUCCACCUCACCAGCUGUCUCCAGCAGUAAACGGCAUUAGAAUACAAACACUGACACGGGUGGAGUCAAUCCCUCCAUCCAUCUCCCCUCCGAGCUCCAUCCUCCCCCACCACACCCCACCCAGCCACGGGGAAUCAAACUGAAAACUAAGGAAGGAGCGAGCAGCUGCCACGUUAGUUACCCAGAAUCCUCAGGGUCAGGCUCAUCCACACGCAUGAACACCAACUCCAGCUGAGCACCACCCCUGGGACCCAGUGGCACGACUCUCAGCUCUCACCACCAUCAUGUGACCUCAUCCCAUCACUGGCAUGUUCAUCUCACCCUCAGCAUUCACUGGAGAAUGGACACAAGCACUCUCCCCUCUGGCUCUCUCUGUGUGUGUGAUCACACAGAGAUGUGGGAAACACCCCAUGCCACCAGGGGGCAGUAUGACCGAGUGCCUUGGUUCAUAUUAGAUGUUCUGGGCAUUCCUUCCAAGCCAAUGUGAAUCGAUCAAAAAACAUACUUGUUUUGUUUGUUUCAAUGUUUAAACAAAAUGCAGCUCUACCUAAGCAUAGAGAACUUUUUUGUCCUUGUAGCAAUGAUCCAUCACAGGUUAUAUAAAACGCAGAAUUACUGUUUGCCCUCCCAGGGUGAUACCCAGGUGAUGGUUGUGGUGAAGACAUACUGUGCAUUGUUUGGUCCACACCACAUGAAAUGUGUCCAUGUUUGUUCUGAGGGCAAUUAUUGAAAGAAAUGUACAAUGUUCAUGCCUGUGAAUUGACAUAGAAUUGCUGCCCUGUCUAAAUAUCUGUGCAAUACUGGGCUGGUAUUCACAAUUAGAAGUAGCACUACCAUGCUGCAACCGCACCUACUCCAGUGAUAAAACCCCUGCCAGAGUUAAUUUGUUCACGGAUCAUCAUUCAAGACCAUGGUACAUCAGGCCCACAUUGUAUGCCCAUUUCUAUGGUUCAAAUGGUAGUGUUUUCUUCUAGACAUAUGUAAUUGUGUUAUAAACUGUGAUCCCAAAUUGAGUAACGGUUCUUUUUGCUUUCUGAGACCAGUUGACAUCACUGAUCAUCACUUCCUGACUGGAUGCGUUUUGGCUUUUUUUGUAAUUAUGAGGUAGCAGAGCUUUUAAGUAAUGAACGGACGAUCAAGCUUUUAUUUCUAGAUUUGUCAUGGUUUAGUGGGUUACUCGUCCAGAGGCCAGGUGUCAGUCCGAUGACAUGGGGAAUUUAAAAAAGGAAAGAAAACAAAACAAAAAUGAAAACGAACCGAGUUUUGGAAAAGUCCAUGCAAAUAUAUUUCAUGAAAAGCAGUAUGAACAGUUCUGAGCGAGACUCUUAUGAUAGCCUCUCUCGUGGUACGGAUGUCUGCGGUACAACCAAUUCAACCCGUGUUGUGACGCAAAGUUUGCGUACGCCCUACGACGUAGGGCCUAUGUGGUUCUGAUCUGGGGGUUUGCACCUUGGCUUAUCGCCAUAGCAACUUCAAUGGGACUGAUAAGAUUUGAUGACAAUGAUGAUGAUGUAUGAUGAAAAACAUAUGCUAAUGGGAUUGUAAAAUAGCCUCAAGCGAUCUGUAUUUUGAUACUUGAAUGAUUCUGAUUUUAUAGAUAUCUAUAUAUAUGUAUAUGUAUGUAUGUACUGUAUGUACAGUCUGUAAUGUUUUUUUGCCAUUUGUCACGAGCCGAGGGAGGACAAAGUCUUUUUAAUGCGCAACAUAUCAUGAUAGCUAAUUAUUAACAUCCGACUGAGAGUACCUUAUACACUCUAGUGGACCUCACUACAGGAACUGAGAAAAGAAAAGUAAAAAAAAUGUAAAUAAUCUUGGGCUUCCAGUCUUUUUUAUGAUUAUUAUUUUUCAUAAUUGUACAACUAAUAAAUGAAGAAAUACCAUCUAUAA